GAGCCCCACCUCGCCCACUCCACAUGCCAGGCUCUGCAGAAACCAAUGUUGCAGAAGGGCAGAGGUCAAGAAGCGCCAGUCUGUUAACAGGGAAACAUCCUUAGGUGGUAAAAGCACAUUUAAAGGCAAAAUAUGCUCAAGACAGAAGGUUUAUCUGUUGGUGGGAAUAAAAGAAUGGAUAUAAAACAUUUUAAAGCACAAAGUGAAAUUACCAAGGAAAAAAAAGGAUGCAAGACGGCAAGGCCUCGGAUAUUGGUUAAUAAUUCAGGUCAAAGGGACAACAGUAAUUUUUUGUUACUGAAAGCUGAGAUUCUGGAGCACAGUUCUACAGCAGGAGUCAAUUCCAUAGCAACAUCCACGGCUAUGGAACUGUGGAUACAUGUGACUGCUCAAAAGAUGUAGUUGUCACCAAAUAAGUAUCUUUUUUAUAAAACAUUCACCAAAAUGUAAAAGAAUUAUGAGGUUUCUAGUUCCAACAACAACAUCCAGCAAGA